UGCCCCAUGGCUGAGUUGGUUACAGCGUCCGACUGUUACGCAUCAAUUUAUCGAUAAUCGGAAGGUCGAGAGUUCGAGCCUCUCUGGGGCAG